rnacentral:SRP_RNA from 1 species
GCUGGGUGUGGUAGUGUAUGCCUACAGUCCCAGCUACUGGGGAGGCUGAGACAGGAAGAUCACUUGAGUCCAGGGGUUGUGGGCUGUAGUGCGCUAUGCUAAUCAAGUGUCCGCACUAAAUUUGGCAUCAAUAUGGUGACCUCCCCGGAGUAGGGGACCACCAGUUUACGUAAGAAGGGGUGAACCGGCUCAGGUCAGAAACUGAGCAGUUCAAAGGCCUGGGCCUUCAGCCUGGGCAACAUACUAAGACCUCGUCUAUUAAAAUAGUAAUAAUGGCUCGGCGCCUAUAGCUCAACCGGCU